rnacentral:rRNA from 1 species
CCUACGGGAGGCAGCAGUGGGGAAUUUUGGACAAUGGGCGCAAGCCUGAUCCAGCCAUGCCGCGUGUGGGAAGAAGGCCUUCGGGUUGUAAACCACUUUUGUCAGGGAAGAAACGGCUUUUUCUAAUACAGAGAGCUAAUGACGGUACCUGAAGAAUAAGCACCGGCUAACUACGUGCCAGCAGCCGCGGUAAUACGUAGGGUGCAAGCGUUAAUCGGAAUUACUGGGCGUAAAGCGUGCGCAGGCGGCUUUGCAAGACAGAUGUGAAAUCCCCGGGCUCAACCUGGGAACUGCAUUUGUGACUGCAUGGCUAGAGUACGGUAGAGGGGGAUGGAAUUCCGCGUGUAGCAGUGAAAUGCGUAGAUAUGCGGAGGAACACCGAUGGCGAAGGCAAUCCCCUGGACCUGUACUGACGCUCAUGCACGAAAGCGUGGGGAGCAAACAGGAUUAGAUACCCUGGUAGUCCACGCCCUAAACGAUGUCAACUGGUUGUUGGACGGCUUGCUGUUCAGUAACGAAGCUAACGCGUGAAGUUGACCGCCGUGGGAGGUACGGCCGCGAGGUUAGUAAACGUUAAAGGUAAAGUUAGUACGGCGUGAGACGUAGACCGACGGACGGACGACGAGGGGAGGAGG